rnacentral:rRNA from 1 species
UACAGAGGGGGCAAGCGUUAUUCGGAAUUAUUGGGCGUAAAGGGCGCGUAGGCGGUCAGCACAAGUCAGUUGUGAAAUCUCCGGGCUUAACUCGGAAAGGUCAACUGAUACUGUGCGACUAGAGUGCAGAAGGGGCAACUGGAAUUCUCGGUGUAGCGGUGAAAUGCGUAGAUAUCGAGAGGAACACCUGCGGCGAAGGCGGGUUGCUGGGCUGACACUGACGCUGAGGCGCGAAAGCCAGGGGAGCGAACGGG